rnacentral:lncRNA from 1 species
UUUUUUCUGUGGGCUUGUGAUCGGCCUUUAGUUUAUUUUUUCUUUUGGGUUUCUGUUGGGCUACGAGGUUGGAGCCCAUGUAUUUUUGGCUGGGCUUGAGGGAUAAAAAUACGGGCUGGCCUGUGUGUUUUAGCUUGGUUUUUCAGUUGGGCUUAGGUAGGUUUGGCCCAAGUAAAAUAAAAAGAGCGGCCCGAUGCCCUUGUUCUUGCCCAGAUCUGGUUACGAUUUGCACUUUGGCCCCUGAUCUUUGGAGUAGUUUCACUUCGGCCCAGAACAUUUUAAAUUUGUUUCACUUAGGUCCUUAAAUUAAUUUCACUUUGGUCCUUGAAUUUUAUCUUUCAUUUAAUUUUGACCUCUAAACUUUGGAAAAAUAUAAUUUUUGUCCCCAAAAGUUUUUCAGUUUUUGCAAUUCAGUACAUGGUGAAUUUUGACUCUCUUUGUUAUGAUUGUUUCUUUUCUUUAAUAGCUAAUUAUGUUACUUUAGAAUAUACUUAACUUGGAAUUUUUAGAUUUGCUUAAAUUUCUUUACGUCUGACAUAUUAGUGUGAAUUUAGUACUUGUAUUAUUAUUUUCUUUUUCAAUUAAAUUGGUGCCAUGAUCCUUUUGUUCAUUGUGAGUAUAAAUAGGACAAUUUGACUCCAUUUAGUUACCACUUCAAACGGGAGGUACUCCUAUUUUUAUUAUUUCAAUGUCAAUUACGUGAUCUUAUGUGCUCUUAUGUGUUCCUAUGUGUUUAUAUUUUUAUAUGCUUUAUUUAUUUGAUUUAAAUAUUCAUUCAAAUUUUCUUACAUAUGUUUUAGUUAAUUUUUUUUACAAUGAUUCAAGAGGCAUUUAAAUACCUCAAAAAUGUAAUAGAUAGGAUAAUUAGAUUUGUUUUAUUAUAUUUUUCCCUUCUAGAUUGUAGUUAGGCGCUCCCCGAUGUAAUAGAUAGGUUGCGUGUUUAUGUGGCUUAUGUGUUAUGUGUUUUAUCCGCUUUUCUUAGGAUUUUGGCAUCUAGAUAUUAUGUUUACGUGUUAUGUGCUACGUGCUCUUAUGUGUUUAUUUGUUUUAAUUUAUGUUUUAUUUGUUUCACUAUGAAUUGUUAAUGCAUGACGUCACCACACUAGUCCAACGCUAGUUGUGAUUUUUCCCUCCACUUACUUGCUAGUCCAACGCUAGUAAGGAUUUUUUUAGAAAUGGGUUAGUCCAACGCUAGACCCUUUAGGUCAUCUUGCGCUAGAUUCAUCUUUGUAUGCUUUUCACCACAUUUUCAUGCAUAUUUUCAUUUUUAGGAUCUUUUCUCAUUUGUAUGAUAUUCCCUAUUAUAUUAUCCCUUACCCUCUGUAGGUACAAAUCAUGUCAUUUAGAAUUGCAUCUCAUUUAAGUUAGUUCAUUUGCUUGUUCAUGUUAGGAUAGUUAUUUUUUUUUUUUUUUUAACAUGGGAAAUGGGUGAUUAUAACUUUUUAGUUUAAAUACUCUAUUAAUCCAUGUAUAAGAAAAUUAUGUCACGAGUUUUUGUCUCCCGUACCCUUUAUGUUGCAUUCCCUUUUCCUUUGAUCAUUUAUAUAUGUAUAUAAUUUAAUUUCUUUUCUCUUCUUUUCUUUUAAUUUCAUCAUUUGCAUAUUCGUGACACUUUCAAGGAGUUAUUUUGGCUUUCGCAAUUAAUGCGGUUGGUUCAAUCAAACCCUUGAAUGAACAUUUUGUCCCUUUCAAUGUUUUUAUAAAUUUAGAUUUGCAUCCAUGUAGGAAACAUCCAAAUAUGAUAAAAUUAAGGGUUAGAUUAGGAAAAUUUUGACUAAACCUCGCAACUAGCUUAGAUUAGGUUGAAAGGGUGCCUUAGGUUUGAGUCAAUUGAACCUUUGCCUUCCCUUUCUUCAACCGUGACUCCCGAACCCAUUUCUCUUGUUUUCAAAGACCUGGAGUUGUCAAAAAGGGUUUUGAUUUAUUUUAUUUCUGUCAAAAAUAUUUUUCGGGUGACUUGGUACACCAAAACUCGAUACCAAGUGGUGACUCCUAUUUUUUCUAAAAAACCCUUUUUAGACUAAAUUUUUGGACCCAAAUUGUCGCAUUUUUUAAAGUCCCAUUUUAGGUCCCUUUUAACUUGUUUUAAAAUAAAAUCACAUCUUUUCUAAACCACCUUUAUCUUUCUUUUUCCAUCGCGAAAAAUGGGGCGCGACAAUUAAGCAAUCAUUGAAAACAUGUAACAUGUUGUCAUUCGUUCAUAACAAGCCAUAUAAUCAAGAACAAGCCACAUAGUCAAUGAAAAUAUAACAAACAAGGAACACUCACCUAUUUACGCAAAAUAAUAUCCAAAAUAUCCUGUCGGAUAAUACCGUCAGCCACCGAUGAACCCUAAUAUAAUCAAAAAAACACAUUAUGCUUCAACCAUCAAAGAUUUAAGUGAUUUAAAGUGAUUCAAAGAAAAUUUGAAUACGUACUAGUGCAAAGUAUAAAUAUGAUUUUGGUAGUGAAAAGAGUACAUUUAAACCGAAAGACAUAAGUAAAAUAUUUAUAAAACUUAUGCUCACUUGUAAAACUUUAAAAUCGCUAUUUGAGUCGAAGUGGCAAAGAAAACGUAAAUACCCUAGAUGGUUCACGUGGGAUUCGCUCUCAAAUCGUUACCUAAUCCUCGAGUGUAAAUUUGGGCAGCACGCCCUUUGUAUUUACCUAUUUUCCAGCCAUUUAUGGCUUCAUUAUAUUCCUCAAUCAAUCCCAAAGUCACACACAAAAUCAUCUCAUUUUAAUAGCCAUUCCAUAGGCUCCAAGUCAUACAAGUACAAAAUCAAGUUAGGAACAUGUGCGGAAAUGAAGUUUGAGUCAAGAAACAAAAGACAGAUUUGACGUUGUUUUGCGUAACGGACACAAUCGAGGCUACGCUUAUCGGAUUGAGGUGCAAUUUAUACCAUUUCGAAGCUAAGACAAAGACUACAACUUUGAUGAAGACCACUCAGUCCAGUUUGCAAGGUAUCCAAGUCAAAUCCACAAAUUACAAUACGAGAUUCCUACCGAUAGGCCAGUUAACCGUACUACGUUUCAAUGGCCAUAACUCAGGCUACCAAAGUCCAAUCGAUGUGAUUCCAGGGGCGUUGGAAAGCUAAGACAUAGCACUAAAACUUCUGUGUUUUGACCAAUGGCUAAUUGAGUAUGGAUCAGGGUGAACAAAUACGGUCAGAUUGGUGAAAGGUCAACGCUGUCCACAGGUCUCUACCUAUGGCAGUCAGGGGUAUUUUUAUCUUUUCACAUGAUACAGUGCUCAGAUUGAGCUGAAAUUUUACAGAUAGCUAUAAAACAUAAUUUUCUACAACUUUUAUGUUUUGUACUAAGCCUAAUUCGGCCUCUAACAUGGUCAAACAGUGCCGGUCAAAACAGGGAGGUGCAAAACCGAAAAUCUGGAAUUUAUGCAUACAAGUGCUAAUCUUCAUAAUUCUAGCUUAAAACACUACCUCACCUCCUUAUCUACACUUAUUCCCAUCAUAAUCCAUCUAAACAAGAAGAAAUAUGGCUGAUCAAUACAAACUCUAACUCAUCAAUUCUCCCAAAAUCACCACAACUACUUCCAUAGCUACCAAUUUAACCAAAUCAUGAGUUAUAUAACAACUUAAACAAAAGUAAAAGAACCAAAGAUAAGGACAACCAAAAUACCUCAAGAACAAGCUUUCAAAAGAUAUCCUCCACCUCUCUUUGAAAUUUUUGAUUUUUUAAGCUUCCCAAGCUCUCAAACUAUUGAUUAAUCGGUUUUAGAUUUCUUGUUUUCUCACUUAAGUGGAUCAAACUCAAGAUGGAUUGUGGUUUCUUUCUCUUGGCUUUUCUUCCUCUCUCUCUCAGCUGGUAGGCAGAAAAUCAAGGUUCAAUGAAGCUUCACGAAGGUUAAAAAUGAUAGAAAUGAAUUUGGGUUAAAGGUGACAAGUGUCACCUUGUGAUUGGAAGUCAAUUUUUUUUCUUUUCUCUUGUUUUCUUGCUCAAAUAUUGUGGCUGAUGUAUGAGAUAUUUUGAGGGUUAAUUAGCUGAAAUAAAAUGAGAAGAUUAAGGUAAUAAAGUAUGGGUCAAGUGGUGCACUCAUCCGAUAACAAACGGUACCCGUCGGUUCAACCCAUUUUUUCUUAAAUCACGUAUACUAGGGUUUUAACUUAUAAUUUACUAACUUAUUAUUAUCACUUCUAAUCACACACUUAAUAUCAUCUAAAACUCACUCUUAAUCACCAAAUUUGAUCCACACUCCGUACCGGAUAUUCACACCACGGAUAGGCGUAAAAAUCCUAAUUCGCACUAACUUGAAAACGAAAAGGAAAAACCCUUAAUUCUAUAUUCAUUUGCACUUAUUGUGGGGUGAUUGGGUAGUAGGGCCAUUAUAAAGUAAUAAUUUUCAAAUAAAAGGGUAUUUGUAAGAAAAAUAUAAGGAAUUUUACGGGUCCUCACAUCGAUAAUGCGUUUCAAAUUUAACGCACACUAACUCAUACUAGGAAAAUGAAUUUAAAACUGUACUUGCUUGUAAAAAUGCAUAGAAAGUUUAAUAUUUCCAAGAAAAGUAUAAAAUGUAGGCAAAGGAAUACAAUAAUGCUGAGAAAAUGUGAAAUUUUUGGGUUCUCACGCACUCUUCAUCCUUCCUUUCUCUCUAUAUAAACCAUCAUUCCUCUCCUAUUUGCAUAUACCAACGAGAAUCUACAUGGUCAAAUCUACAAAGCCAAACUUUUUAAGUACAUAUUUUUCCUUCAUUUUGACAUGGAUGGUGCUCCAGAAAGAAACCUUCAUAACUUCACUACCCUCUCAGCUCAAAUGCAGUAGCCGAAAACAUCUUUGAUGUGUCAAAUCAUUGCAGACUUCCUUAUCCACCUCAGCUAGCCGCUCCUCGAAGAAAACCCCUGAAGGAAAACCUCUGUCAACCAUUUCCACCAUGCCCUCAGCAGCAGCAGCAGCAAGUGGAAAGGGAAACACAACCAAGGACAUUGAAUCUGUAAGUGAGAAGCUAGUGAGCGACCUCAAAGUCACGAUGGAUGAUCAUCUGAAACUGAGGAUUUUUUAUGAUCAUGAGAAAGAUCAAAGAUCCUACAACUAUCUUCAGGAGGGUAACAAGAAACCCUCUGAGGAGGGGUUACCUUGGAACUUGCGAAGUCGUCCAACUACUUGUAAGACUGGGUGUGGUCGUUUGACCCCCGUUAUGCAGCAAUCACAAAAAGGGAUUGAUGGGAAGGCUAGCGGGAGUUCAACAUGGCUGCAAAGGCCAAAGUUCUUAGCCACUCUGUCAAAUGAAGAGAUUGAGACAGAUUUCUUGCUCUUGACUGGUGCAAAGCCAUCUCGUAGGCCUAAGAAAAGGUCUAGGUCCCUUCAGAAACAAUUUCAUGUAAGUUACCUCAUUUUUUCUUGUGAUUUUUGCCUAAAGAAUGCACCCCAAAUCGGGGCAAAUUUUUUUUUGUAAUAUAUUUGUGAGACUUCACUAAAUAAGUUCCAACUGAGGCAAAAUUUUAUAAUACAUUUGUAGGAUAUGUCCAAAGUCAAGUAUAUAUUUUUCAAAUCUUGAUAAGUCAACACUUUGCAUGAAUCUUAAUUGUUAUAUCAUUGCUCAAAAAAAAAAAAAAACAAGAAGAGCAAAAAGAAUUUGAAAAUUCAAUUGUUUCGAAAAAUUCCCCCUUUGUGCAGGUGUUUAUGGUUAAGAUCGAGGAAAGGACGCAAGUGAAAGUCUUGCAAAUUUGGAGAGCAAUCAUGAAUAAAAGGGGGCGGUAAUACUACCUUGCAAAGUGGAGGAUCGGCUAUUUUUGCAAAAGGAGUACAUACUUCGGCAGCAAACUUGAAAGAAAAAAAAAGAGAAAAGAAAAAAUAGAAAAAGGAAAAAAAUGGAAAAAAGAAAAGGGGAAUGAAAAAAAAAGGAAAAGAAAAGAAAAUGAAAAAAAAAUAGAAAAAGGAAAAAAAUGGAAAAAAGAAAAGGGGAAUGAAAAAAAAAAGAGAGAAGAGAAUAAUAAAAAUGAAAAAAAGGGAAAAAGAGAGAAAAGAAAAAAGGGAUUGAAAAAAAAAAGAGAAAAAGAAAAAGAGAGUUUUUCCUUCGAUUUUGCAAAUUUUGCAAUUGAACACUGGGAGCAUUUCAUUGGAGAUUACAUUGCCAAGUUGGGGCAACAUCUUAUGCUUCGAAAUGAAAGUGGUAAUACAUGCCAAAACGAGAUCCCGUCCUUGCACAUUUUGACAAAGGCUCGGCAGAAGAAAUCAAAUGGAUUAAGGAGCACACUGAGUUGCUGUCUCUUAUUGAUGAAAAAGAGGUUGAAUGUUUGUCAUGGACAAUGCUAUCAUCAAAGGAUGGUUCGUUGGCUAUGACAAGAAAGAUAAAUCUCGCUUAUUUGAAAUGAGGGAUAAGGUUUUGAAGUAAAUUCUUCCGAUUCAAGAGGAGGUUAAAGAAAAGUUUGCUCCAACUUAGCAAGAGUCAUUUAUUGUUCAAAGAGUGCUAUUCGGAGGAACGCCCAUUCUCAUAGAACUGGAUGGACAGGUCUUUCCUCUGCCAAUCAAUUCAGACAUGUGUAAUAAAUUCUUUAUCUGAUUAUGUGAUUUUUCUUUUGAAAUACCAUCUAUGGCGGAUUAAAGGCGAGCCUUCUUCUUUUCUCUUUGAACAUCUUACUCCUAGUUUUCCCCAUUGAACCUCUAGAAUAAUUUAACCCUUCAUUUGAUAGCCCUCCUAAAGAUUGCAAACCCCAUCCUGGGGUAAAUUUUUAUCUCCCAUUUGUCAGAAAAAGAAAAAAAAGAUUCAAAAGCCAAACUGGGGCAAUUUUUUCGAUUUUAAUACCCUCAUACUGUGGCAAAUAUUGAUAGAAUGCGGUCUUAGGGUUUUUGAAACCUCUUUGAAGAUUUUGCUUUGAAGCCUUAACACUCUUUCUACACCCCACAUGACCCCAUCAUAAAAAUCAUAAAGUCUCGACCUCCGCUUUAGUGGUAUUUCUAAUAAAAAUCACUUAAUCAAAUGGCAAUUGAUGUCAGUACACCUUCACCAUUUUUACAUGGGAAGGAUUGUCGCACUGAUGCCAUCUUUUCUUAGAACACAUUUCUGAGUUGAUAAAGGUUGUCGACAAGAUUUGUUCAUUAGGUGAAAACCGAAGGAUACAAAAAAAACAAAAAAAAAAGAAAAAAAAAGGGGGAAGGGGAAAGGAAAAGGGGGGUGAUCUUAGUGAAAAUUCGAAGGGUUAAGGUCAUCAAGAUGGACGACAUCCGAAGGGAUCAAAUGUGACAUCUUUCUUUGUCAAGAGCCAUUCAUUCAAAUCUGGUCAUUAGAAAAGUUGAUUUGUGGUACAAGUGAGGUAUGGCUGACUGAUGCUAGAAAAUUGAGAAGAUUCAAAAUAAGUUGCAGCACAACUCUUGAGGAGCAGUUUUGACAUCAAAAGAUCAUGCUUGCAUAGUUCUCAGGGCCAAAAGGAGCACAAGGAAUCACAUGGUAUUCGUAUCAUAUGAUCAUUCUUUUUGUUUUUUCGAAAGCAUGAAAAAUGUGGCUUCGUUAAACAUGAUUUACACUGGGGCAAAUAUCAAGAGGAAUGAGCUCCAAUUUUGGUAAUGCAUUUUAAAUCGGCUUUGUGAAAAAAAAAAAAGGUCUUUUAAAAUCGAGAGGACAGUGACAUGUGUAUGUACCUCUCAAAUCUCUUGAAAGGAGAGUUGUCAUUGGUAUUCUUCAAGUUUUAGAAUUUGUCACCUUUGUUUUUUUUCAAAAAAACAAAAAAAAUGUGUGUGUUUCUUUCAUUUUGAAAAAAAAAAAAAAAAAAGAAGAUUACAAAUCCACCAACUUGAGCCACAAUGUCAAAAUGCAAAGCAGAUGAUUGGUUGAACAAAAUUGAUUCAAAUUGAGUCAAUUUCUGAAAUGAUUUUUCAGAUAAGUAUUCAAGAACUUUUUCAUGCAAUAACGUGUGUCAUGUCUUUUAUCACCGUUAGCAUCGAGUAUUGACUCACUAGCGUGUGUUUUGCUUUUUCAUAUCCGUUAGCAUCGGGUCCAACCCACUAACGUGUCUUUUAUCACCGUUAGCAUCGAGUACAACUCACUAACGCGUGUUUUAUUUUUUCAUAUCCGUUAGCAUCGGGUCCAACCCACUAACAUGUCUUUUAUCACCGUUAGCAUCGAGUAUUGACUCACUAGCGUGUGUUUUACUUUUUAUCACCGUUAGCAUCGGGUCCAACCCAUUAACGUGUCUUUUAUCACCGUUAGCAUCGAGUACAACUCACUAACGCGUGUUUUAUUUUUUCAUAUCCGUUAGCAUCGGGUCCAAUCCACUAACAUGUCUUUUAUCACCGUUAGCAUCGAGUAUUGACUCACUAGCGUGUGUUUUGCUUUUUCAUAUCCGUUAGCAUCGGGUCCAACCCACUAACGUGUCUUUUAUCACUGUUAGCAUCGAGUAUUGACUCACUAACGUGUGUUAUGUUUUUUUUCACAUCCGUUAGCAUCGGGUUCAACCCACUAACGUGUCUUUUGUAUAUCAUGUUGGGAUUCGGCAUGUUUGGGUGUUAUCCCACUGACCGUUUUAUUUUAUUGGAUUAGGGUUUUAUCCCACCAAUCUGUUAUUUCUUGACAAUUUAAAUCUUGUUGGUGAGUCUCAGCGUCCACCGCGCACCCUUCUAUCCCCCUUCUUGACAAAUUUAAAUUCCUGUUGGAGCGUAAUCGCGUCCCUCCGCGCAUCAAUUUAAUUUUCUGUUGGAGCGUAAUCGCGUCCCUCCGCGCAUCAAUUUAAUUUCCUGUUGGUGAGUCUCAGCGUCCACCGCGCACCCUUCUAUCCCCCUUCUUGACAAUUUUAAUUUCCUGUUGGAGCGUAAUCGCGUCCCUCCGCGCAUCAAUUUAAUUUUCUGUUGGUGAGUCUCAGCGUUCACCGCGCACCCUUCUACCCCCAUUCUAAGCAAUAACAUUUAAUUUUCUGUUGAAGCGUAAUCGCGUCCCUCCGCGCAUCUUUUUCUAGUUAUGGGAAGUUAUUUUUCUUGACUGUUUUGAUUAAUAAUUGUGUUGUCUCAUUCAUUUUGUAUUUCAUGUUUAGAAGUUCUAAUAACUCAGACUUUUUCGACUUUGCAAAGAUCACAGUUGGUCAAUGCACUUGUUUCAUUGUGGUUCACUUGCAUUUGAACUACGUUUGACCUGAUUCCCAUGGCGGGAUACGUAGGCAACUCUACAUGAGUUCGAUCACGUGCUUUCUGUAAUGUUAUUGCAUCAUUUUGCUCAAUAAUUUCAGCCAAGUGUUGGCUUGUUUAUUUUAGCUCAAGUGCAGUUAAAAGAAACAGGUAAGCAAUUUGGUGUCUACGUCUUUGUCUUAAAUUUCUUUGAAACUCUAGACAAAGAGGGGCAAGGUGUAGACACCAAAUUUUUGUCAAUUUUUAAUAUUUUUUCAAAAUUUUUCUAUUUAAUGAGUUAUUUAUUUUCUUGCAUUUUAAUUUGCAUUUUUCUCAUUUUUGCAGGUUUGUUUUAGGAAAAGAAGAAAAAUUAAAAAAAAAACAAACAAAACAAAACAAAAGAAGGAAAAUUAAGAAAAUAAAAAAAAUCAUUCUAAUCAUUUUGUUUCAUCAGAACCACUAUUAACCCAUUUUUACACUCCAUCCUCAUUAACAUUUCUUCCCAUUUUGGUAAAAAAUUCAUCAUUGAUAGCCCAUGCACCUUUCUUUUCAUUAGGGGAAGAAAAUCAUUUUGGUGAACAAAAACACUCCACCUUUUUGGCUCAAUUUUCCUCUCUCGGCUCUCUCCCGCAUCAGAGAAGCCACAAACAAAAAAAAAAAAGGACUCCUGACUCUCUCGGCUCUCUCUCUCAAAAACAGAGAAGAAGAAAAAUCUCCCUCAAUCUUCUCUUGGCUCCAUCUCUGGUUCUCUCAAUCUCACAUGCACCUGUCCUCGGAGCAAAGAAAGGUGAAGGAAGGAAAUGAAGACAACAAGCAAUUGGAGUGUGAGGUGCUGAAAUUCCUUCAAAAUUUUGACCGAAGAAGCUCUUGCGGGAGUGGAGGUAUUUUUCCAGCUUUAUUAACCAUGUCAACCCCACAUUUUAUCGUUUAAUUUUGUGGCUUUUGCUGUCUUUUAUUGUUGUUGUUGUGUUGUUCAAAAUUUGGGAAAUGGCUUGAGCAAAGUUGAAGAAAGAGAAGUAAUAUUUCUGUAUGUAUGCUAAAUAUUUGAUAAAAUGCCAAAAAGAAUUUUAAGGACUGUUUUGCCUUAAUGUAGUCUUUUGUUGUUGUUUUCCGGUUAGCUAAGAUCAUAGUUGUAUUGUAGAGGUUGUAGGGAGUGUUGUGGUAUAAAUUUUGUGAUUUUUAGUGGUGACUUGGGUGUUUUAAAAAAUGAAAACUGGACUGUAUUUUGAUAUUUUGGCCACUUUUGGAUCAUCUUUUGUAAAAACUAAUUCCGAAAACGGAACCUACGCGAAAAAUCGAGUGAGGGGGUGUAUUUUGAGAAAUUUUGGUGACCGGAGAGGUCGCCGGCGGUGGCGCCACCGGCGGCCACCAACUGAAGUAAGCUUCGGAUGGCCAGAGGAGGAGAAGAACCGAAGGAAGAAGAAAGAAAGAAAAGAAAAGAAGAAAAAAAAAGGGGUUUGGGCCAAUUUUUUUCUGUGGGCUUGUGAUCGGGCUUUAGUUUAUUUUUUCUUUUGGGUUUCUGUUGAGCUACGAGGUUGGAGCCCAUGUAUUUUUGGCUGGGCUUGAGGGAUAAAAAUACGGGCUGGCCUGUGUGUUUUAGCUUGGUUUUUCAGUUGGGCUUAGGUAGGUUUGGCCCAAGUAAAAUAAAAAGAGCGGCCCGAUGCCCUUGUUCUUGCCUAGAUCUGGUUACGAUUUGCACUUUGGCCCCUGAUCUUUAAAGUAGUUUCACUUCGGCCCAGAAUAUUUUAAAUUUGUUUCACUUGGGUCCUUAAAUUAAUUUCACUUUGGUCCUUGAAUUUUAUCUUUCAUUUAAUUUUGACCUCUAAACUUUGGAAAAAUAUAAUUUUUGUCCCCAAAAGUUUUUCAGUUUUUGCAAUUCAGUCCCUGAUGAAUUUUGACUCUCUUUAUUAUGAUUGUUUCUUUUCUUUAAUAGCUAAUUAUGUUACUUUUGAGUAUGUUCAAUUUGUAAUUUUUAGAUAUUCUUAAAUUUAUUUACGUUUGACAUAUUGAGGUGAAUUUUCAUUAUUAUUAGUUUUUUCAAUUAAAUUGGUGCCAUGAUUCUUUUGUUCAUUGUGAGUAUAAAUAGGACAAUUUGACUCCAUUUAGUCACCACUUCAAACGGGAGGUACCCCUAUUUUUAUUAUUUCAAUGUCAAUUACGUGCUCUUAUGUGCUCUUAUGUGUUCCUAUGUGUUUAUAUUUUUAUAUGCUUUAUUUAUUUGAUUUAAAUAUUAAUUCAAAUUUUCUUACGUAUGUUUUAGUUAAUUUUUUACAAUGAUUCAAGAGGCAUUUAAAUACCUCAAAAAUGUAAUAGAUAGGAUAAUUAGAUUUGUUUUAUUAUAUUUUUCCCUUCUAGAUUGUAGUUAGGCGCUCCCCGAUGUAAUAGAUAGGUUGCGUGUUUAUGUGGCUUAUGUGUUAUGUGUUUUAUCCGCUUUUCUUAGGAUUUUGGCAUCUAGAUAUUAUGUUUACGUGUUAUGUGCUACGUGCUCUUAUGUGUUUAUUUGUUUUAAUUUAUGCUUUAUUUGCUUCACUAUGAAUUGUUAAUGCAUAACGUCACCACACUAGUCCAACGCUAGUUGUGGCUUCUCUCUUCGCUUACUUGCUAGUCCAACGCUAGUAAGGAUUUUUAGAAAUGGGUUAGUCCAACGCUAGACCCUUUAGGCCGUCUUGCGUUAGAUUCAUCUUUGUGUGCUAUUCACUACAUUUUCAUGCAUAUUUUUAUUUUUAGGAUCUUUUCUCAUUUGCAUGAUAUUUCUUAUUAUAUUAUCCCUUACCCACUAUAGAUGCUAAUCAUGCCAUUUAGAAUUGCAUCUCAUUUAAGCUAGUUCAUUUGCUUGUUCAUGUUAGGAUAAUUAUUUUUCAAAUAUGGAAAAUGGGUGAUUAUAACUUUUUAGUUUAAAUACCCUAUUAAUCCAUGUAUAAGAAAAUUAUGUCACGAGUUUUUGUCUCCCGUAC